UGUGGUUUCUGUCUACUCUACAAGAGAUGUUUGACGGUUCAUCUUAUUUCUCAUGGAUUACAAGCCAAUCUACCUCUUCAACAUGAUACGGUUGCUUUUGUGAUGAUCAUAUAAAGACAUGAGAGCAAGAUGGGACCAAUUGUGUUGGCCCAAAGAAUGGUCAACCUUCAGAGAGUCGAUUUGGACUUGGAGCUCAGGAGUUCUUUCCAGUAGAAAUUGAUCUCUCUUCGUUGCUGGAUCAAACUUUCAAUCUCAGAUUAGUAUUGUUUUCUGAGUUCAAUUAGAAAAGAUUACCAUUUUCUGGGAGAAAGUUGUUUUUUUUUUUUUUCCUUUUCUUUUAUAUAUCUGCAUGCAUAAUAUAUAUUUGACAGAGCCACAAAUGUUGACAUGGAAUGAUCGAUCAGAUGAGGCUGAUACUGAUGUCUGCAGUCGAAUUCUUGCAAGCAUUGUUGUAGCAGCUAAAAUGAAGUACAUGGAGGGACGACAUAAUUGUGGAAUUGAAGUCCCCAUCUCACGAGAGCAGAGCUAAGUGGUUACGAGACAACGACAACGCCACAUGGUGGUCCGUUGCGUGAAAUUUCCUCCUCCUUGCAGGCAACCACUCGAAAACAGAAAAGGUAGCGUCCUCCUUGCUUCGACGUCAUCGAUGUGGAUGGCUCAAUCAUGUCACUCACUCCCAUUGUAAGUGGUCUUCUCUCCUUUCCUCAAGCAAAUGCAUUUCCUAGUAAAACUCGAUCUAUCUUUUGGGUCUUGUACCCCCAAAACGGCGUCGUCCGUGCUUUUAGCUACCUGAAUUAUUGGACGGA